AUACUCACCCGGCAGGGGAGAUGCCAUGGUCAUGAAGGUGGUUUUCCCAGGGUGAGACUUCUCCAUUGCACUCCGGAUGUGCUGACCCCUGUGAUUUCCCAAAAUGUGGGAAAUUCGACUGCAUAGUUUGUGGGAGUGGGGGACUGUGUCUGUGCUCUCCCUUG
rnacentral:snRNA from 1 species